UACGAAGGGGGGCUAGCGUUGCUCGGAAUGACUGGGCGUAAAGGGCGCGUAGGCGGCUUUGCAAGUCGGGUGUGAAAUCCCCAGGCUUAACCUGGGAACUGCAUUCGAGACUGCAUUGCUAGAGUAUGGGAGAGGGAAGUGGAAUUUCCGGUGUAGCGGUGAAAUGCGUAGAUAUCGGAAGGAACAUCAGUGGCGAAAGCGACUUCCUGGACCAAUACUGACGCUCAUGUGCGAAAGCGUGGGGAGCAAACAGG
rnacentral:rRNA from 1 species